AUUGCAGCAGGAGCAGGGGGCCUAUGAGAGCGCGCUCACUGCUCAUUCCCAUUUGCUCAAGUCCUGUUUGCAACUAGCCUCUGAGAAAGAGGGUGGGUUCAUUGGCAGUUUCACGUUGGAUAGACCAGGGUUCUAGACAGUCAUAUGAGCCUAAUAUCUUUCCUCAUGAUACUGCUUUGCCAGAAGAAUCACUGUUAUUAGAAGAUUCUGUGAUAUACCCUGAAAGUAUUAAGAUGUUUAAGAAGUUGAUGAAAAGCCUCAAAUAACUACAGUGCAGGUGGAGGAAUAGCCACAACAGUACACUGCUUGGAUGAGCAAUGUCUUAAUCCACCACUAAUGAUGGAGAGCACAUAGCUAAAUUAACUUGCCCCUCAAUGACCGCUGUCCUCAUAUCUUAAUCACUAUCUUUUAUAAGAACCUCUGAAUCUUCAAUUUCAGUUUCCCAAACAGUUACUGUUGCUACAUAAACUAGGAUACACAGAACAGUGUGUAUCUGCAUGUGAUUUGGAUGUGAUGCUUGGCACUUCUGCAGCCAUUCUGCCACCAAGGAGAGCCAGUUUGAAGACACACCUGCACAUGGCAGAUAGCAGAAUGGAAUGACAGUAAGAAUGUGGGUCUCCGAUGGUAAUUGAGCCACUGAAUCACCAACUCUAAAAGCUGUUCUUUAGACUUAUGUUAUGAAAAACAUUAAUUUUCCUUAUGCUUAUGGCAAUUUCCCAUCUGUCCCAAUUUAAAAAUUCCUUUUUAAAUCUAUGCAAUAUUGGGGCUUCCAUUCGAAAUACUCUCCAUACUCACUAUUAGGAAAUGUAUCUAAACAGCACUUAUCUUAAAAAUUCUAAAUAUUUUGACAUUAAACAUUUAAUCUGAAAUUCCUGGGUUUCUUGGUUCCACAGGACAGUGAUUCUCAAAGUACGAUCCCCACAUAAGCGACAUCACCUUCACUAGGGAACUUAACAGAAAGGCAGAUUCUCAAGCCUCGCCCCAGACUUGUUGAAUCAGAACUCCUUGGGAGCAGGCCCAGCAGUCUGUGUUUGAGUAAGUACUCCCAGUGAAUCUGAUGCAUUCUAAAAUUUAAGAGCCACUCCUGCAGGAAACACUACUUAUGACAUCAGGUACCAGGCAUCAUGACUCACAAUCAAAUGAAUGUUGAAUCAUCCAAAGUGGGUUAAAUAGGUACCAAGCUACCCUCUGUUUUCUAAACAAAGAAAGUAUUAUCCUAGAUGAAGAAAGGCAAGAUAGACAAACGAACAUUCAACAAGUUCUCAGACAAAAGCUUUCACAUCGCUCUUGUGUAGAGAUAAUAAGAAUAGUUGGUAGUGUCUGAAGAAAACAGAAGACCUGGGAAUAGCAAACUUGAGAAAGAAUGAGGUUGAGAGGACUAUUCCAAUUAGCCAGGAUAAGUUUUGUUCUGAUGAAAGUGAAAUUAAGGAGUUAUUGGAAGAGUGGAAUAAAGUAGGAAUUGUCAAAAAGGGGCAUGUAACUGGAUGAAAUAAAGCACUAGAUAAAUAUUCCUGAAAGGUGCGAAGUUUUGAACAGGGAACUUGAGAAGGGCCGGGGAAGUCUGAAGAGGCUUGGACUCCUGGACCCAAAGGAAGACGGAGGCUCGAGUGAGAGCUUACAGAACAGAAGGCACAGCUAGGAUGAAGCUGACAGGGAACGCUCAGGAUCUGGGCACAACUACUCUGCUGAUGGAAAAGGACUGAGCUUCCAGGACGUCCUCACUCCCGCCCUGAAUGCUGUGGAGCAAAAGGGAAAUGAGGAGAUGCCUACAGUCCAGGUGGGGAAAAGCAAAAAGAGAACACACAAGAAAUAAGCACCUGUCUCUGUGGUUAGACGUGUCAAUGACGAGAAACAAGAAGAUAUGGCAACAAGCUGGACAAGAAUCCUGAGAAGUUGUAAAUCAUUCUGAUCAUUCUCACCAAGAAGAGUUUGGCAAAUGGAUGUCUAAGCGUGGAGUUCUCCACCCGGCUGCCCAUUAGGAUCUCCCGGGAAACUCCUAGAUGCCACUUUAUGAAAACAGACUGAGCCCCACCCCAGACCAGUUGACACCGAAUCUUUGAAUAUAAGGCUUGGAUAUGCAUAUUUUUACAAAGCUCCUCCAAUAAUUCUGAUGCACAGUGAGGACUGAGGAUCAUUGUCUAAGAGUAUUGGAAAACAGUGAAACUAAGAAAAUCUAAGCCUAUAUGCACCAUGCAGUUUGUGAUUCCUUAUAAAAGGGAUAAAGAGGGAUGUGAGUGAACACAUGGAGAAAGAAUAUUAAUAAAUUGUGAAGGCCACUCUGACUUUUUCUUGUUCUACUAAUAUGGAAUUCUUAGCUUUCUAAUAAUAGAAAGGGAUGGCUAUUCUAUUUUGAGGACUGGCUCCAGGCUCAAACGGGCUUAUAUGGACAGGAGGUAAGAACACUUCCUUCUCUGGGUUAUAAUAGUCUUAGUAACAUUUUGGGGAAUGAGUUUGCACAAAUAAAGUCAGGGUCUGUGGUUCUCUGAAAAGUGCACUGGGGAAUAGAGAGAAGUACAGACAUACCCCAAGGACCUCGGAAUCCAUGGGGAGAUGUGACCUUCACAAAGGUGCCAAAUGAGCAGAACAGACAAUGGACAAGGAAAGUUCCAUGGAGCAGAGGGAACAUGGGUGACGACUUGGGCGCAGGCACCUAAGAUCAAGAGGGACAGAGAAGAGGUUUGGUGACAGAUACAUAGGAGGUGCUGCCUCUGACAUGUCUGUGCUGUCGAUGGCAACAAUGAAACACUGUGACCGAGCGAGAAUUGAGUAGUGCUGUUCUGGCCCUUCACUGGGAGAAGGGAGAAGCAGGUAUCGUUUGUUAUCCAUAUUUGCUUCAGAAACCAAUGCAUUUUCUCCCAUGACAUGUGUUUGGAUAUUUAUUAUUUGUUUGUCUAUGACGUGCCUCACAGGAGAAACGAGAAUAGUUAAGUUACUGAAUCAGAAAAUGUCAUCGCUUUUCUCAGCAACUCAUCUGAGCAGAUGGCAAAUGACUACUUUUAUGGCUUGUUUCUUUAUUACAUGUAGAAAUAUUUAUUAACAUUGUAUUUCUGUCGCAUGUGUGCAACCAGCAAGAAACCAAGUUAGGCAGCUGCCAGGGAGGCGGGAGGAAGGGAGAGUGAAUGGCGAUACGCUCUGGCUUUUGUCUUAGCAGGUGAGCAAGCCUCAGCCUGGGGGUGGGGAGCAAGGAACACCUACGUAUUCCUCUGAAGCCAAAAAAUGCUACGCAAGGCAACACCAACAGCCACCCAGAGCAACUGCCACCACAUAAUGCCAUGUUUCAUCAAGUUUGAGAUGUCCCCAUCACAAGAGGGAAACUAUUUUAUGUACCACGAAGAAAGCAAAAGCAUCCAAAAUGGGGAAUUGAACAGAGGGGGCCCCCCAUGAAGCUGGGGCACCAAAAAGCAACAGAGAAAUAAGCUCGCCAUGCAGAAAGGGCUGGUAGCGAGACGAGGGAGGAGGGAAUCUUCCCUGAGAAUUUGAACCUCAACCAGUACCGGGGUGGGUGUGCAUUUUGAAUUCCUGCCACCAGAGUGGUCCGAAUGCCCUCAGGCAGGGACUCUGACCCUUGGUCUCAGUUUGGUAGUGCCCCAAGUGACUGGCAGAGGCAAACUCUUGGAAAGCAGUGGACUUCAAUGGAGACUGUAAGAUGCAUCCCAAUUUCAGAUAUGUUAACGCAUAAAAAUACGUGCAUCUGGGAACAGAAACACAGGAACCCUCAUCUACCGUGAGGCCCAUCCCAGGAGUUAUUCAGGGUCUGCAGCCGAGAAUAAAAAAACCCAGGAAGAGGGUAAAACAGAAAUCAAAGUCCAAAAAGCAAGACAGGGGUCCAACAGGUGACCAAAGGCAGGGAAUGAAAGCACACGGGGGACAAGGCACUCAGGACUUGCAGCCAGGAGCAGGUCAGGACAAGCGGGCUGGAGCUGGGGCGAAGCCUCUGUCCACUUGUUUCUCUGGCUUCCAGAGCCAGGAAAGAACCUCUCCCAGCUUCAAUUCCUCACCAAUAAAAUGCAGAAAAUACUUUCUCUAGGAUUACUGAAGAAAUGAAAACAAGAAACUGUAUUUUAAAAGUGUUUUGUAUACUAUAAAAGCUCUGUGCCCAUAAUAAUUAGGCUUAUUUUUGAUAUAAAUAUUCUGAAAACUCCUUUAGUAAGAUCCUGUGUCUUCUACCUUUUCUUGUAAUUUUUCAUUUAGCAGAGGGCUGUGCACAAAUCAGGCACUUAAUAAAUCUUUACUCAGUGAAUAAAUAAACACCGCUAACUUCUGGCCCCGGCCCUACUUGGCCCUAAAUUCCUGAGGGUUGGUUACGAAGCCUGCAGAAAAUAGAAAGGGGAGAAAAGACAAAAACACCAGUUCAGAACAUGAUGUAUUUAUGCUUAAACAAGUACACAGAUCCCACACACCCACCCUUGGUCUCCCUGAAAUUCACAUCUACAACAAAACCGAAAUAUUAGCUGGGAUGACAUGAUGUUUUCACAGCAAAAGAUUGAAGGCAGGCUCCAGGAAGCAACUUUACAACGGAACCAAACAGAAUGGAAGACGGGCGACUUCAGAAUGGGAGGGUUGUUCAUUAUGGGCAAAAAUACCCUCGGCAUCAUCAAAGAGCAUCUUUGAGAGAAGAGACCAAUGUUUAGAUCUCCUGGAAUACCCUGACGUUUGCUGGUCAAACUUAUUAACAGGGAACAAUAGGAAAAGGAGGUUUCCUCGCCAAGGCACAAGCUUGAAUUGGAGGGGAGAGCAGGUCCCGGACUGGGAGUAAGAAUUGGGGGUCAAAGAUGAGGGCUUCCACCACCAACCUGAGUGAUGCUGGGUUCUCUAAGGGGACGUCAUGGUUUAGAGAGAAGAACAGGAGGGAGUGGAGACUGGGGUUUACCCAGGCUCUGUCUUCAUCUGUCACGUAACUCUGGGUAGACUUUCCAUAAAAUGAAGAGUAGGACAGGAUGAUCCAAGGAAAGAGCAAAUCAAAUAAACAAGAAUGAAAAAAGACAAAAAUAGCUACAUAGAACAGUAAAAGGAGUAAGUCUGAAAGAGAAGAGAUUGGGAAAAUGGGUUAACAUAUACAGAAUACAAGAAAUUAAAAGGGUGGUCCAGAAACUUGAACGGGAUCCAGGGAAGUUUCUUAAGUAAUUUAAGGAUGGGCACAAGAGGUUCAGGAUGAAAAUGAUAAUUUGGGGCAAGAGAGAGUGGUUAAACCGGGAAAUGAACUGAGUGGAAGGCGAUAUGAGCAGUCUAGAAAGAGGGCCAAAUUCUCAGCAUCUUCAAAUACACAGCAUCACCCUCAAACCAACACACUCAGGAGACAGAUCCUUUUAAAGCACUGGUCCACGUUUAGCCAAAGAGGCCUGAAACUUCUUUCCAUUCAUUUUAUUAUGAAGACUUGUUUGAGGAACUCUAUUUCAGGAUAUUUCUAUGGGGGCCAUUUUAGUUAACAAAACCAGGGAAAGGCAGAGAUGUGUCCAAAACACUACUUUAAAAAAAAUGAUUAAACAAUCUCAAUUCUGGUCUUUUCUAGGCAUUCUUUGCAGAAGCAGGCAAGGAGAAAUAUAGAAUUUGCACGACAGAUAACUAUCAGAAGACUCAAGACGCAAGUUUCCUGUGGACUAAGGGAAAAGAAAAAUGAAAACACGGAGGCUUGAGUCUUGCCCAGCUCUGCCUCCAGUUAAGGAGCUCCAACAUUAGCUUCAGGAGCUCCGGGAUGUUCAAAAAGGAAAGGAACCCAACAGGAGGCUUAAGCAACACCAGAGGUCCCUAAGACAAACCACAGCCACGUGGCAGAGCCUUUGGGUUUCUUCAUCCCCCGCGCCUGCACUGCACCCCUCCACUGGUGAGGGCAGAGCCCACACGUGAAGGUCAACAGCAAGAUUCCACGACGAGCAGCGCAGGAGCCCGCGAGCGAGCAGGCAGGGCUAGAGAGCGGGAUCUGAGCUGCAACUGCGGUGGGCUCUGCUUAGGAGAGGAGAGGGCAACUCAUGCUCUUGAUGAGAGAAAAAGAAAGAAGAAAUCAACUCUGGCUGGAGGAACAUCUACCAGGCAUGGGAAAAGAAGAAAGGGAUUAUCAUGGAGUUUCAGAUUUUUCAUCUCUAAUUGCCUAGAAUCUGUGUUCCCUGAAGAUUUAAGAACAGAGUAGAUUCACCAGUACCAAUGACUGAGGUCUAAGGCCUUUAAGAUUUUUUUCGGUAAUGGGCCACAUCGUCGGAAAUCCGUACGUGGACUCAGAUUCUUUGCUGUCAUGAUGACUUGACGAUUUCCAUCCUUGCCAGGUCAGUAUGGAAGUCAAACCCCACUCAAGUGCCCAUGGAGGCUUUGCUCCCACUUGUUUUACUAUGGUCAGUAAUGCUUCAUAAAGCUCGAGUUUAACGAUGUAAUUUUGGCAGAGCUAAUAUAAAAAAGUUCAAAAUUAUUAAUUUAUCUUUCAUUGCAAUUAGUAACCAUUCAGCCUGCGUAUAUGUUAUCUGACAGCUGUCAGUAGUUCAGUUACCCUUAUCAGAGG